rnacentral:rRNA from 1 species
CGUAGUCAACAUGCCCAGGGGACGUGGAUAACCUCGGGAAACUGAGGAUAAACCACGAUAAGUCACUACUUCUGGAAUGGGUAAUGACUCAAAUCUACAUGGCCCCUGGAUUGGACUGCGGCCGAUCAGGCUGUUGGUGAGGUAAUGGCUCACCAAACCUGUAACCGGUACGGGCUCUGAGAGGAGGAGCCCGGAGAUGGGCACUGAGACAAGGGCCCAGGCCCUAUGGGGCGCAGCAGGCGCGAAACCUCUGCAAUAGGCGAAAGCCUGACAGGGUUACUCUGAGUGAUUUCCGUUAAGGAGAUCUUUUGGCACCUCUAAAAAUGGUGCAGAAUAAGGGGUGGGCAAGUCUGGUGUCAGCCGCCGCGGUAAUACCAGCACCCCGAGUGGUCGGGACGUUUAUUGGGCCUAAAGCAUCCGUAGCCGGUUCUACAAGUCUUCCGUUAAAUCCACCUGCUUAACAGAUGGGCUGCGGAAGAUACUAUGGAGCUAGGAGGCGGGAGAGGCAAGCGGUACUCGAUGGGUAGGGGUAAAAUCCGUUGAUCCAUUGAAGACCACCAGUGGCGAAGGCGGCUUGCCAGAACGCGCUCGACGGUGAGGGAUGAAAGCUGGGGGAGCAAACCGGAUUAGAUACCCGGGUAGUCCCAGCUGU